UACGUAGGGGGCAAGCGUUGUUCGGAAUUACUGGGCGUAAAGGGCUCGUAGGUGGCCAACUAAGUCAGACGUGAAAUCCCCAGGCUCAACUUGGGAACUGCGUCUGAUACUGGAUGGCUUGAAUUCGGGAGAGGGAUGCAGAAUUCCAGGUGUAGCGGUGAAAUGCGUAGAUAUCUGGAGGAAUACCGGUGGCGAAGGCGGCAUCCUGGACCGAGAUUGACACUGAUGAGCGAAAGCUAGGGGAGCAAACGGG
rnacentral:rRNA from 1 species